CACUAUGGCCAUACCACCCUGAACACACCCGAUCUAGUCUGAUGUUGGAAGCUAAGCAGGGUCGGGCCUGGUUAGUACUUGGAUGGGAGCAUACCCUCCCCAAAUUAACCUAUUUGUGAUACCUU
rnacentral:rRNA from 1 species